rnacentral:lncRNA from 1 species
GGGCUUUAAUUUUCCCACCUAACACGUCCAACAAUCACCUAAGAGCUAACACAAACACAUAAAUAAUUCUAAGAUUUCAUAAAUCUAGCAUUUCUUACUGAUUUCUGGUUUUUCUCUUUUUCUUUCUGAGUACUUUCACUGCUUCGAGCUUGAAGCUUUGGGUCUUAAGCAAUUACAAGAAAUUCUUGUCUGGUCUGCUGCCCUCGAGAAGGUCAGUACACCUCAGACUCUUCUCUUUAGAUCUUCUUACUUGAAUAUCUUGAAUAUGCUUGUUGUCUUCUGCUAACUAUAUUCGUUUACGAUGUUUGUCAUAAGUAUAUAAAUGUUAUUUCCAGCUUAUGAUAAAGUGUUGUUAACUUGUGACUAUUUGUCAUGUUUCUGAAUAUCUCUAAUUGGUAUUGACUAGACUAUUAUGUGACCUUAAUAACUUUUAUCUCAGAAUCCAAAUUGUUUACAUGAUUAAGUUUUCCUUAAUAUGCCUCAAUGACCUUCCAUCCUUGUCUAGACUUCAGAUUUUCUGUUAAUGGUUCUAUUGUGAUCUUUAUCUCUACACAACAUUUCUACAUUCUGUUGUUUUGUAAUCGAGUUUGUUGUUGAUAAUCCUAACUAGGAUAAACCCAAGAGUGCAUAGUUUAAUCCUUCACCACUUAACUGAAGCAUGAGAAUUCUAAGUGUUUAAGUACUCUCCUUCUCAGUAUCAAUGUUUGUUCAUUUAAGAGCAUCUUUCUAAGUUAUUAUUAUGAUAGUCUUAUAUUCAUAUUUCACUAUUGGUUGCACAUAUAUGAAACAAUCUUAUUAAUCUGAACUCUUAUGAACAUCAAUAGCCCUUUUGUAUAUAUUCUGUUAAGAUUAAGUUAUCCCUUUUCAUAAAGAUAGGUCAUAGUUAUAUUUGUUAUACUUGAAUGAUAAUUGUUGUUAAGCUGAACAUAACUGCCUCAUGUUUAGAUGUAACUCUCAGUCGCAUAGCUGAGUUAAACAUGUUUGGUGUAGCACUUUUCUUGCCUUAAUCCCUUUAUGGCAUUGCUUUAGUCCUCUCUUUCCUGCUAAUUUGAACUAGAUUCGAUUUUUAAAUCCUAUAAGAAGUUCUUUAUUGCUACUACCUGAACAUGAUGGUUUUCUUCAGGUUAAUACUAUUAUGAUAAUGUGAUCUUGUUGAGCACCUUUAGGGACUCCAUAUUUGAAUCUGUAAGCCUGUAGUUCUACUAAGAAUCCAGAUCAUGUUCUGAUACCUUUGAUAACACCUUAGAAGUUGUUUGAUUAUGACUGUUUGUUUGAACCUUUACUAAUGCUUUUAAAAUUUCCAAGUAGUGUAGUUAAUCUAUACAUGUGCUGGUGGUAAGACCUAAGCUAACCAACCUGUAAUUAGUCUGCCAAGGCAGAGGUAUCUAUAUUUCUGAGUUGCUGCAUAUCUGAAAUGUGUGUUUUUUGCCUAUCCUUUAAAUGUGAUCCCAAGUGUUUAGAUCUUCAACAGUAAUACUAUAGUGUUUCUUCCCCUCCCCUAUAUGUGUUUUGAAAUCUGACCUUCAGACUUGUUUGAUAUGUGUUCUAUUCCUUUAGUACUGGAAAUGAAGUUAAAAAUGAAAAUGUUCUUAUGUCCUUAUGUUAUUCUGUCAAGGGAAAAGUAUACUUCUGUUGUAGGGAGUAUUCUGGAAGUUAGUUUAUAUUGAAAGGGCCUCAUUGGCACUUAAACCCAUAGAGAAAAAUGAGUCGCUAGUGGUUAAAGGUAUUUGAGAGUAGAGUUUAACUCUAGGUUGGGCUGCUCUCCCCGGCACAAGCAUUGCCAUGGGCCUUGAGACCCUUGAGAACUUUAAACUAUCGGCGGAUUCAAAGUGGACAGCGACCUUGAGUGGAACUCUCUCUUUAGCCCUUAAUUCAUUAACACUCAUCGUUCUCUUAGGGUUUAGUAUUUAAUUACAAAGAAAGGUUUUCAAUGUAAAUUAUUUAUCGUGUAUAACCACCAUAUUAGUAUAAGUUUCUCAUAGUAUUUGAGUAUUGAUAGUUUGUUACAUUUUGCUUCAAUCAUUUGUUUAUAUGUUUCAUACAUGGUUGAACAUGUAUAAUAUGUAUCUAAUGACCUUCUCUUCUUCUUUUUUGAGCAUAUAUAUUUAUUUGGGCCUGCUGAGUUCUUAAGGAACUUAGGCCCAAGCCCAGCCUUGCCAUAUUUUCUAGAAAUCUGAAGUCAGCUGUAGCCGUUCCUUUAUUGUUGGGCCUGCCUCUUUGAGGCCUAAUUACCAGAGUCCAAUCUUCUCCUUUAACUCCUUUAUUAUUUACUGCCUCGUCUCUUUAGUUUUAUUGCCUUGUCGCAUUUUGCUGCAUUCUUGUUAUUUUUUUAUCUCACAUGUAUAUAACAGUAUUAUAUUGGAUUGAGUACUUUAACUUAUAUCUUAAGUCAUAUAAAACUUAGGCAGGCCUUAAAUAACAUAGGAUUAAAAGAAGAAUUAGCUAGUAACUAAUCUCCCAUUCGCUAAUUAUAAAAUAUUUAUAUUAUUACUAUAUUUUUGUUUACCUUAUCUUAAAGAUUUUGAAGCCCAAAGCUAGCAAAGGACGACAACCACACUUUCAAAAGGAAAAAUCAGAUUAUAAACACAAGCUUUAUCUUCAAAAAGGGAAUCAAAUUAUUUCGAAAAAAAUGAAGUGUUGUCACCCCAAAGGAUUUUCAAAUAAUGGUUUUUCUUCAAGUCUUCAAAUCAAGGUAUAUCUUAGGCUUAUUCAUAUCUCAUUAGAACAAUAUACACCUUUAUGCUUUAGGAACAAGUGUUUUAAUCUAGUUUCUCCUUUUUUCACAUACUUUCUUAAUACAAACAUCUUAUAUCUCGUUUCAAAAGCUCUUUUCAAGUAUACAUGCACUAACGUUAUUUUCCUCUAUAAAUUCACACCCCUUUUAAACUACACCCUCCUUUUGUAAGAAUUAUGUCCUAAUAUACGGUAGGCCAUAUCUUUAUAACACUAGUUAAGGCAUAGUAUAAAUAAUUAAUUCUAAAUCUAGUCUAAGUCCUAUGGAGCUACCUCAGGUAGAUUUUAAGGGGUGCCUAAUACCUUCCCCUUAGAAGAACAAGAACCCUUACCCAUAAUCUCACUAGUUAGCAGACUAAUAAAGAAUAUGACUUAGUAAUUAAAUAGGUACCCUAGUAUACCUUUAAAUAUUAGGUGGCGACUCUCUUUCAUCAACAAUAUAGAAACUACAAGUUGAAUAUUGCUUUGACUAGUGUAAAUUUGGGUGCAACAGUGCUAAUAACCGGUUAUAGGGCCCAACUAAUACACUUUGAUUUUUGAGGACUCGAACUUCAGACAUCUGAUUAAGGAUGCAGGGAUCGUAUACAUCCCACCACAACCUUUGGUAGUCAUUUAUAAAAUAUGUAAUUGGGCGAAUAUGGUGGUUUCACUUGGGAGUUGACCGAUGGAUGAACUAUUUGGUGGAGGGCAAUUCACCAGUCUUCGUGUAACGAUCCGAUCGAUCAUUUUGUAUAAUUGCGCUCUGUUUUCCCUUUUUAUGAUUAACAAAUAUGUGUUUAUAAUUUUAUGACUUGCGAGGUUGGUUAGUUUCGUUCCAGGGAACUUUCGGGUUGAUUUGGACCCUUGAUUCUUGACUUGAAGUUUAAAUUAGAAAACAUGGAUCAAACUUUGAUUUUUGUGAAAACGACCCUGGAACAGUAUUUUUAUGGCUACGAUAGCUUCGUAUCAUGCAUUCGAACUUGGGCGUACGCCCGUAAUUGAUUUUGGAAAUCCGUAGGUUGAUUUGUGUUGAUUUACCGAAAUUCGGUAAUUUGAAGAUGAAAAGUUUGAUCGUAGAUUGACUUUUAGCUAUCGAGCUCGAAAUUUAAUUUUGGGACUUGGAAUAGGUCUGUUAAGGUAUUUAGAACUUGCCUGCAAAAUUUGGUGUUGUUUGGAGUUGAUUUGAUUGGAUUCAGAUGUUUAGUUGUAAUUUUAGAAAUUCUUGAACUUUACUUUGAAAUUCAUGUGUUUUAGUAUUUGAUUCAUAGUUUUAGCUGCUAUUUUUGUAUUUUGGUUAUACGAGUGAUUUCGUAUGAUGUUGUUAGACUUGUGUGGAUAUUUGGUUUGGAGCCCCGAGGGCUCAGAUGAGUUCCGGACAUGUAUCAGAAUGGUUUGAACUUAAAAGUUGGUGCUCUGAUGUCGCAUUUGCGAGCACCAGCCUCGUAAUUGCGAAGGUGACAAUAAGGGGGAAGAUGUCUCAAAUGCGACUUCCCCUUCACAUUUGCAAAGGCAAUAGAUUUUGGACUGAGUUCGCAAUUGCGAACAUUUGUUCGCUUUUGCGAAGUACCCAGCUUCGCAAUUGCGAAGCCUUUAUUGCAAAUGCGAUGUUGACUUAGGCCGUCAAGGUUUGCAAAUGCGAGGCUUGGUCAGCAAUUGCGAGGGUUCGCAAAUGCGAACCUUGUGUCGCAAAUGCGACAUCUGCAGCUGGUUAAAGACUAGGAGACGGGAUUUUUGAACAUAUUCUCUCAUUUUUGAACUCUAUAUUCGGUAGGAAGCGAUUUGGGUAAGUGGUUCUACUUUAUUUCUAAUCAUAUUCUAUCAAUAUAUCUUAUAUUUUAACAUCAAAAUCAUGUGAAUCAAAGUGAAAAAUUGUGAAUCUUUGUCAAGUUUUUGAAAAAUAAGAAAUUGAGUUUUGAGAGUCGAUUUGGACUCGGAUUUUGAAACUAAUCACAUAUAUGAACUCGCGGGUUAUGGGUAGACGGAAUCUAUCAUUGGGCCCGGAUUUUGAUUGGGCAAGCUCUGGGUUGACUUUUAUUGACUUUUUGGGAAAAAUAUAAAGAUCUUAGUUUUAUCUAUUGCAAUUGAUUUCUCUAGCAUUAUUUGAUGAUAUUAGGUCGAUUUUGGUUAGAUUUGAGCUGUGUAUCGGCGAAAUUUAAGGGAAAAGCUAUUUUCGAGUGUUGAAUUGACCUAGUUGAGGUUAGUGUCUUGCCUAACUUUGUGCGGGGGAACUACCCCUUAGGAUUGGUAUUGAUUGGGCUUUUGUGCUAUAUGAAAGCCAUGUACGCAAGGUGACGAGUAGGUACUCAGGUUGUACAUAAUUGAUCAGUUUAGGCUACUUAGACCAUUUUCAUGCUUUAAUUGAAUUGUAAUAUCAUGUUCUAAAUUCUUUUAGUCAAUCUAAUCUUACUUAUGUUAGUCUAUCCUUACAUGCCUUAAAUGAUUUUCUUAAUACUUGUUCUACGUUCUAACUGAUAAAUUUCUUUCAUGCUUAGUUGAACUUGUUGCCUCAAUUAAUGUUUCGUGUUAUCUCUCAUUGUUAUUAUCAUUAUUUGAAGUUAUUUUUAGUGUUACCUCUCAUUGUUGAUUAUCAUUAUUUGUAGUUAUUGUUCAUGUUAUCUCUUCCCUUAUUGAUUUCCCUUAUUUGAAGUCAUUGCUACACGUUUUCUCUUCUAUUGUGAGUUAUUCUUAUUUCACAUCGUGGUUAUACAUUGUAUCUCAUUGUUGAGUUAUUAGUGUUGAAGUUGUGAAAGUUUUUAUCACGUUGAGGCAAAAUUAUUAUCGUUGAAACAUCUUCCUUUUUGAGCAUUUUACAUUCAUUGUUGUUGUUGAUAUUCUUGUACCCGUUAUGGUGGAGCCGUAGACUAUUGUUGUGGAAACAUAGAUAUUGUGGAUUGUUGACAAAUUAUGAUAGAUGGGCACUUGUGGUGAGAGUUGUUAUUGUAAUGUGACAUUGACGCGUAUGCGGCGGUAUAAGCUUGGGGUUGAUGUGCAUCCGGCGGUAUAAGGUGGGACUUAUGUGCGUGUUACUUGUAGAGGAACUACAUGAAGCCACGCGGCAUCAUAAGGUGGGAUAAAGUGUGUGUAACUAUUUUGAAAAAACUGUUUUCAAAAUCUAUGUCAAAUGUAAGGCUCACGCGGAGGUACAAGGAAAGAUUGUGAUUAAAAUUAAAAAAUAUGAAUACGAGGCGGUACCUCGGUUGUGAUUCUUGAUUAUACGAGGAGGUACCUCGGUUGUGAUUUUAUUAUACACGAGACGAUACCUCGUUUUGAUUUUUGCUGUUUAUUUCAUGUUGCCAAGAUUUUUGGUGGGGAACAUUUCUUGUUGUUUCGUUCUUUAUUGUUCUAACAGUUGUUAUCCAUACAUGAUCAUUGUGGUUCUCUUUAGUUGCUUCUUUUAUGCUAUUCCUUAUUAGUUCAUGUUAUUAUCUUGGUUUGUAUCAGUUAUUUCUUCGCUUUCCAUUAUUUAUCCUUAUUAUUUUUCAUAUUGUUUAUUUAUAUCCUAGUAGGUGUCUUGACUUAACCUCGUCACUACUCUACCGAGGUUAGGCUUAAUACUUACUGGGUACCAUUGUGGCGUACUCAUACUAUGCUUCUGCAUAAUGUUUGUGCAGAUCCAGGUACGUCUGCUCGUGUCGGUUGUUAGAGAUCAUCUGUUAGCUGCUUCACGGAGACUUCAAGGUAUGCCUGCUCGGCGUCCGCAGGCCUCAGAGUUACCUUCCAUUAUUCUUAUUUAUUGUUGUAUUUUCUUUCGGACAGUGAUGUAGUAGUUACUCUAGUUUUACUCUGUAGAGCUUAUGACUCAGUUCCACCGAUUUUGGGAAAGUAUUUUUGAGGUUCUAUUUCAAAAGUUUAUAUCAAUUAUUCAGCC